AGAACGAACGCUGGCGGCAGGCCUAAUACAUGCAAGUCGAACGCACUCUUCGGAGUGAGUGGCAGACGGGUGAGUAACGCGUGGGAACCUUCCCAAUGGUACGGAAUAACUCCGGGAAACCGGUGCUAAUACCGUAUAAGCCCCUCGGGGGAAAGAUUUAUCGCCAUUGGAUGGGCCCGCGUCGGAUUAGCUAGUUGGUAAGGUAAUGGCUUACCAAGGCUACGAUCCGUAGCUGGUCUGAGAGGAUGAUCAGCCACACUGGGACUGAGACACGGCCCAGACUCCUACGGGAGGCAGCAGUAGGGAAUCUUGGACAAUGGGCGAAAGCCUGAUCCAGCCAUGCCGCGUGAGUGAAGAAGGCCUUAGGGUUGUAAAGCUCUUUUGGCGGGACGAUAAUGACGGUACCCGCAGAAUAAGCCCGGCUAACUUCGUGCCAGCAGCCGC
rnacentral:rRNA from 2 species